ACGUUGGCUGUUCAGUGGUAGAACGCUCAUCUUCCAUGUGGGAGAUCUGGGUUCAAUUCCAGGCUGAUGCA
rnacentral:tRNA from 1 species